rnacentral:rRNA from 1 species
GUCCUACGGGACGCAGCAGUGAGGAAUAUUGGUCAAUGGCCGAGAGGCUGAACCAGCCAAGUCGCGUGAGGGAUGACGGCCCUACGGGUUGUAAACCUCUUUUGUCGGGGAGCAAGACCCGCCUCGUGCAGGCGGAGCGAGAGUACCCGAAGAAAAAGCAUCGGCUAACUCCGUGCCAGCAGCCGCGGUAAUACGGAGGAUGCGAGCGUUAUCCGGAUUUAUUGGGUUUAAAGGGUGCGCAGGCGGGAGAUCAAGUCAGCGGUAAAAUGUCGGGGCUCAACGCCGGCCGGCCGUUGAAACGGGUU